rnacentral:lncRNA from 1 species
CUUAGAGAAUCAAAGGAGGAAGAAAUUUCUCAGGCCGUUGUGCUAUGAGCCGACUUUGUUGGACAAGAAACUCAUCCAAGAUUUUCUAGCUCUGAUUGUGUAGCAGGAGCAGGGAAGUCCUGAUGGAAGGUGGUAUGUUGUUCUCUGUUGGACAAGAAUCCCAGAAGCUGUAGUUCCUUAUCUCCCUGGCUGCCUCUCUGCAGAUCAGCGUGCCCUUGCUGAUAUUUGCCACUGUGGGUGUUUUUAGUCUUCUCAAAUUUGAAUUAAUAACAAAGUACAACCACGGGUACUGCGAGAAGCUGAAGAAACUAGCU